AGUGAACGCUGGCGGUAGGCCUAACACAUGCAAGUCGAACGGCAGCACAGUAAGAGCUUGCUCUUACGGGUGGCGAGUGGCGGACGGGUGAGGAAUACAUCGGAAUCUACUUUUUCGUGGGGGAUAACGUAGGGAAACUUACGCUAAUACCGCAUACGACCUACGGGUGAAAGCAGGGGAUCUUCGGACCUUGCGCGAGUGAAUGAGCCGAUGUCGGAUUAGCUAGUUGGCGGGGUAAAGGCCCACCAAGGCGACGAUCCGUAGCUGGUCUGAGAGGAUGAUCAGCCACACUGGAACUGAGACACGGUCCAGACUCCUACGGGAGGCAGCAGUGGGGAAUAUUGGACAAUGGGCGCAAGCCUGAUCCAGCCAUACCGCGUAGGUGAAGAAGGCCUUCGGGUUGUAAAGCCCUUUUGUUGGGAAAGAAAAGCAGCAGGUUAAUACCCCGCUGUUCUGACGGUACCCAAAGAAUAAGCACCGGCUAACUUCGUG
rnacentral:rRNA from 1 species